rnacentral:rRNA from 1 species
AGCGAACGCUGGCGGCAGGCUUAACACAUGCAAGUCGAGCGCCUGUAGCCAUACAGGAGCGGCAGACGGGUGAGUAACACGUGGGAACGUACCCUUUGGUUCGGAACAACACAGGGAAACUUGUGCUAAUACCGGAUACGCCCUUACGGGGAAAGAUUUAUCGCCGAAGGAUCGGCCCGCGUCUGAUUAGCUUGGUGGUGAGGUAACGGCUCACCAAGGCUACGAUCAGUAGCUGGUCUGCGAGGAGGAGCAGCCACACUGGGACUGAGACACGGCCCAGACUCUUACGGGAGGCAGCAGUGGGGAAUAUUGGACAAUGGGCGCAAGCCUGAUCCAGCCAUGCCGCGUGAGUGAUGAAGGCCCUAGGGUUGUAAAGCUCUUUCAGCGGGGAAGAUAAUGACGGUACCCGCAUAAGAAGCCCCGGCUAACUUCGUGCCAGCAGCCGCCGUAA